rnacentral:tRNA from 1 species
GGGGAUGUAGCUCAGUGGUAGAGCACAUGCAAGGUUCUUGGUUCAAUUCCCAGCAUCCCUA